rnacentral:rRNA from 1 species
CGUGUAGGCGGUAUGGCAAGCGGUAUGUGAAAUCCCGGGGCUCAACCCCGGAACUGCAUACCGAACUGCCGUACUAGAGGACAGGAGGGGGAUGUGGAACUCUAGGUGUAGCGGUGAAAUGCGUAGAUAUCUAGAGGAACGCCGGUGGCGAAAGCGACAUCCUGGCCUGUAUCUGACGCUGAGGCGCGAAAGCGUGGGUAGCAAACAGGAUUAGAUACCCUGGUAGUCC